rnacentral:rRNA from 1 species
GACGAACGCUGGCGGCGUGCUUAACACAUGCAAGUCGAGCGGAUCGGCGAACGGGUGAGUAACACGUGAGUAACUGCCCCCCUCGCUGGGAUAACAUUUGGAAACGGAUGCUCAUCCCGGAUAGUGGGGGCUGAAUCGCGUCCUAUCAGCGUGUUGGCGGGGUAGUGGCAUCCCAAGGCGACGACGGGUAGCCGGCCUGAGAGGGCGACCGGCCACAUUGCGCUGGGAUACGGCCCAAACUCAUACGGGAGGCAGCAGGGGGGAAUAUUGUACAAUGGGGGAAACCAUUAUGCAGCAACGCCGCGUGCGGGAUGACGGCCUUCGGGUUGUAAACCGCUUGCAGCCAUUACGCGGUAGUGGCAGAAGAAGCACCGGCUAACUACGUGCCAGCAGCCGCGGUAAUAC